UACGUAGGGGGCAAGCGUUGUCCGGAUUUAUUGGGCGUAAAGAGCGUGUAGGCGGCCAUACAGGUCAGCUGUGAAAACUCGAGGCUCAACCUCGAGACGUCGGUUGAAACCGUAUGGCUAGAGUCCGGAAGAGGAGAGUGGAAUUCCCGGUGUAGCGGUGAAAUGCGCAGAUAUCAGGAAGAACACCCGUGGCGAAGGCGGCUCUCUGGAACGCAACUGACGCUGAGACGCGAAAGCGUGGGGAGCAAACGGG
rnacentral:rRNA from 1 species